GACGAACGCUGGCGGCGUGCCUAAUACAUGCAAGUAGAACGCACAGUUUAUACCGUAGCUUGCUACACCAUAGACUGUGAGUUGCGAACGGGUGAGUAACGCGUAGGUAACCUGCCUGGUAGCGGGGGAUAACUAUUGGAAACGAUAGCUAAUACCGCAUAAUAUUGAUUAUUGCAUGAUAAUUGAUUGAAAGAUGCUAUUGCAUCACUACCAGAUGGACCUGCGUUGUAUUAGCUAGUAGGUGAGGUAACGGCUCACCUAGGCGACGAUACAUAGCCGACCUGAGAGGGUGGGCCGCCACACUGGGACGGGGAAACGGCCCAGACUCCUAAGGGAGGGAACAGUAGGGAAUCUUCAGCAAUGGAGGGAAGUCUGACCGAGCAAAGCCGCGUGAGUGAAGGAGGUUUUCGGAUGGGAAAGCUCUGUUGAAAGGGAAAAACGGGUGGGGGAAUGGAAAAUUCACAGUGUGACGGUAUCUUACCAGAAAGGGACGGCUAACUACGUG
rnacentral:rRNA from 1 species